GAUGAACGCUGGCGGCGUGCUUAACACAUGCAAGUCGAACGGAAAGGCCCAAGCUUGCUUGGGUACUCGAGUGGCGAACGGGUGAGUAACACGUGGGUGAUCUGCCCUGCACUUCGGGAUAAGCCUGGGAAACUGGGUCUAAUACCGGAUAGGACCACAUUUUGGAUGGUGUGGUGGAAAGUUUUUCGGUGUGGGAUGAGCUCGCGGCCUAUCAGCUUGUUGGUGGGGUAAUGGCCUACCAAGGCGUCGACGGGUAGCCGGCCUGAGAGGGUGUACGGCCACAUUGGGACUGAGAUACGGCCCAGACUCCUACGGGAGGCAGCAGUGGGGUAUAUUGCACAAUGGGCGCAAGCCUGAUGCAGCGACGCCGCGUGGGGGAUGACGGCCUUCGGGUUGUAAACUCCUUUCGCUAGGGACGAAGCGCAAGUGACGGUACCUGGAGAAGAAGCACCGGCUAACUACGUG
rnacentral:rRNA from 1 species